rnacentral:rRNA from 1 species
UCGCGGCCUAUCAGCUUGUUGGUGAGGUAAUGGCUCACCAAGGCUCCGACGGGUAGCCGGCCUGAGAGGGCGACCGGCCACAUUGGGACUGAGAUACGGCCCAAACUCCUACGGGAGGCAGCAGUGGGGAAUAUUGCACAAUGGGCGCAAGCCUGAUGCAGCAACGCCGCGUGCGGGAUGACGGCCUUCGGGUUGUAAACCGCUUUCAUCCAUGACGAAGCGAGAGUGACGGUAGUGGAAGAAGAAGCACCGGCUAACUACGUGCCAGCAGCCGCGGUGAUACGUAGGGUGCGAGCGUUGUCCGGAUUUAUUGGGCGUAAAGAGCUUGUAGGCGGUUUGUCGCGUCGGGAGUGAAAACUCAGGGCUUAACCCUGAGCCUGCUUCCGAUACGGGCAGACUUGAGGAAGGUAGGGGAGAUUGGAAUUCCUGGUGAAGCGGUGGAAUGCGUAGAUAUCAGGAGGAACACCAGUGGCGAAGGCGGAUCUCUGGACCUUUCCUGACGCUGAGAAGCGAAAGCGUGGGGAGCAAACAGGCUUAGAUACCCUGGUAGUCCACGCCGUAAACGGUGGGUACUAGGUGUGGGGGACAUUCCACGUUCUCCGUGCCGCAGCUAACGCAUUAAGUACCCCGCCUGGGGAGUACGGCCGCAAGGCUAAAACUCAAAGGAAUUGACGGGGCCCCGCACAAGCGGCGGAGCAUGCGGAUUAAUUCGAUGCAACGCGAAGAACCUUACCUGGGUUUGACAUAUGCCGGAAACAUCUAGAGAUAGGUGCCCCUUUAUGGUCGGUAUACAGGUGGUGCAUGGCUGUCGUCAGCUCGUGUCGUGAGAUGUUGGGUUAAGUCCCGCAACGAGCGCAACCCUCGUCCUAUGUUGCCAGCGGGUAAUGCCGGGGACUCAUAGGAGACCGCCGGGGCAACUCGGAGGAAGGUGGGGAUGACGUCAAGUCAUCAUGCCCCUUAUGUCCAGGGCUUCACGCAUGCUACAAUGGCCGGUACAAAGAGCUGCGAACCUGUAAGGGUGAGCGAAUCUCAAAAAGCCGGUCUCAGUUCGGAUUGGGGUCUGCAACUCGACCCCAUGAAGUCGGAGUCGCUAGUAAUCGCAGAUCAGCAACGCUGCGGUGAAUACGUUCCCGGGGCUUGUACACACCGCCCGUCAAGUCAUGAAAGUCGGUAACACCCGAAGCCGGUGGCCUAACCCUUGUGGGGGGAGCCGUCGAAGGUGGGGCUGGA